AAAAGGACUACGUACAAUGAUGUCCUUCAUAAGAACCGAAGUGUCGCUGAAUGACGACGAAGACGUUAUAACGAUUACUCAGUGAACUGCAAGACCACGUACCAGUUUCAGCAGCAGCAACAGAAGCAACUGCAGUAACACAGUAAACCUUCCCGGCUAUAGUGUUCAGAGCACUGUCGUGGCCAACAAGCCAGCGCGGUGUUGCCGUUUGUUGUCCUGCUCACUACUGCCUCACUCGUCAGUGCGUGCGGCGGAGCGCUGACACCAGAUGCAGGGAGGCGCCCGUUUAAGUGAUAUCAAUAGACACAACCAAGCUCUGCUGCUGUACAACAAACACAACAGAAGUCGAAGAAGAGACGUGUUAGUGAGGGGAAGACGAAAACUCGUGUAAUGAUUUCCUUCGUCUCGUCUAGCACAACCCCUCCCAUCAUGGAUCCGGAUAUCGAUGCCAAAAGCAGAGUGACAGUUUGCAAGACACUGUCCCCCCCGCGGCGGCGGACACCUGAACGGCUUCUUCUGCCGCGGAGGACGUUACAUCCCGCCGACAGGGAGGCGCUGGAGCACGGUUGCCAGCUGAUGUCGGGCAAGUAGUGCCGUUGGCUAUGGGUGAGGAGGAGGCGGUUGCAUGGCCCCGUGUCAAGCAGCUGCAACAAGCACCGAUCACCAACCUAGAGGAGUAGCAGCAGCUGCUGUCCUCAUGUCUUCGACUUCUGCGCCCGCGCACCGGCACACACAUACACACACACACACACACACACACACACACACACACACACACACACACACACACACACACACACACACACA